UCAAAAACCGUAAGAAGAACAAGUAUUUUAAGCCCGUAACUUAAAGCGAAUUGAGGAUGGUGGAAGCUCAAGAAGUUAUUCUUUUAAGAAAAACAUCUUCUUUGUUUCUAGGCUGAACGAUUAAGCGUCCAGUAAGUCUAGACGUGACCGAUACGUUAUCGUUUGGAGAGCAUAUUUUAGAUGUGCUUUUAGAGAUGUUUAUUUUUAAACGAAUUUUGGGUGGUACCGCGAAGUCUUUCGUCCCUGUU
rnacentral:ncRNA from 1 species